rnacentral:rRNA from 1 species
UACGAAGGGGGCAAGCGUUGUUCGGAAUUACUGGGCGUAAAGGGCUCGUAGGUGGCCAACUAAGUCAGACGUGAAAUCCCUCGGCUUAACCGGGGAACUGCGUCUGAUACUGGAUGGCUUGAGUUUGGGAGAGGGACGCGGAAUUCCAGGUGUAGCGGUGAAAUGCGUAGAUAUCUGGAGGAACACCGGUGGCGAAGGCGGCAUCCUGGACCAACACUGACGCUGAUGAGCGAAAGCCAGGGGAGCAAACGGG